UACGUAGGGUGCGAGCGUUAAUCGGAAUUACUGGGCGUAAAGCGUGCGCAGGCGGUCUGUUAAGACCGAUGUGAAAUCCCCGGGCUUAACCUGGGAACUGCAUUGGUGACUGGCAGGCUUUGAGUGUGGCAGAGGGGGGUAGAAUUCCACGUGUAGCAGUGAAAUGCGUAGAGAUGUGGAGGAAUACCGAUGGCGAAGGCAGCCUCCUGGGCCAGCACUGACGCUCAUGCACGAAAGCGUGGGGAGCAAACAGG
rnacentral:rRNA from 1 species